ensembl:lncRNA
CGUUGGACCCGGAGUCUGAGUGAAAUCUGAUGCCUCCACAGUGUUGACAUUUGGGGGGGGGGGGGGAAUUAACGAUUAUUGGCCCGGUACAUUCCGGGGACAUACCAAAGCGAUUUUUGGAGACGGGGGAGUUGCUGCGUUUUUGGGUUAAACGCCGUGCCAUGCCGGAGGACAGGCAGAAUCGGAGCACUCCCGUGUUGGAAAAUAGGCAGCAGAAAAAGGGCAGAAUGGUUCGUGGAUCCAUGCAGUGAGUGAUGCGGCCUGGAGGCAUCUCCCCCGCUGUGACCUUCAGCUCUUCGGUUAAAUUGACACUGAUGCUAAACGCUGUUCACAGGGGAGAUGACAUCGAGUGUGAGGAGUCAGGCUGGUGACAGAGCACCGAGGGAAAGUGGAUUACUUCUUCUAACUUCUUCCUCGGGUUCAGAAUUAGAUAUAUUUACGCAGUUGUUUGGAGUGACCUUAGACUGGGCCUCAAGGGCAACUUUGAAGUGACAUUCAAUGAGGCCUUCUGACCUUUGUCAAGCAUUUACACCAACAACUUUAGCCAGAGAAAUAUUCCUGAAUACGUCGCUGAACAAAACAUUAUACGAGAAAAGCCGUCUUUGCGUCAGUCAAACUGGUUUGUUUUGAUCAUAUUGGAACAGAUUUACUUUUCUUUUGUCAGGAAUCGUGCAUUUGGAAGUCAAAUAAAACGUAAAAACAUUACGCAACAAUUUUAAAUGAAAUGUUGACUUUUGCUUCCUUUACUCUUUAACUCAUAGAAUAAACCCACAUAUCAUCGUGUAUCCGCAGGUUUAGUU